AAGUUUGGACAAUGGGGGAAACCCUGAUCCAGCCAUCCCGCGUGUAUGAUGAAGGCCUUCGGGUUGUAAAGUACUUUUGGCAGAGAAGAAAAGGUAUCGCCUAAUACGGGAUACGGCUGACGGUAUCUGCCGAAUACGCACCGUCUAACUACGUCACGGCCGCCGCGGUAACACGUAGGGUGCAAGCGUUAAGCGGAAUUACUGGGAGUAAAGAGUGUGUAGGCGGUUCGGAAAGAGAGAUGUGAAAUCCCAGGGAUCAACCUUGGAACUGCAUUUUUAACUGCCGAGCUAGAGUAUGUCAGAGGGGGGUAGAAUUCCACGUGUAGCAGUGAAAUGCGUAGAUAUGUGGAGGAAUACCGAUGGCGAAGGCAGCCCCUGGGAUAAUACUGACGCUCAGACACGAAAGCGUGGGGAGCAAACAGG
rnacentral:rRNA from 1 species